rnacentral:lncRNA from 1 species
GGUAUCAUGGGAGAGAGUGUAUGGACUAGGUACAUAAAGUGAACCCUACCGUGGAUGUGUCCUUAGUUGUACAAGACUGGAAAUUCCAGACUGGACGGAGUUAGGAAUUAGUUUAAUUGCGCAGAUACCGGAGGGGGUAUUAAGAUGGUGUAUAGUUGUGACGUCAUUAUUGAAUGGAGUAUGGGGACAACUGAUGAAUUAUAAAAGAAAUGUUUGUACAU